ensembl:lncRNA
AAAGCAUGGAAGUCGCUGGACUGCAGAAAGACAUGACGAAAUGCUGGACGCUUCCACCUGCUUUAUUGGACUCCAGCAGUAAUCAACAGAUAGAGAGAGACUCACAUUAAUAAAUGCCAUACAAUUGUUGUUAAUGUAAUUUAAUAUAAUUAAUGUUAAUAACUGAAACCUUAUUGGAAGUGUUACUUAAGUUUUAUAUGUUGUGUUGUGUGUCUCUUGAUGGUUCGGAUUAACCCUUUCAUUGCUGUAUGCCUUAAUUCCAAACUACUGUCACACCUACCUUUAAUUUUCAAGUAAUCCUGAAGACAUUCAUUAGUUGGUUCAGGUGUGUUUGAGUAGGCUAAACUUUACAGGACAGUCGAUCGCCAUUAACAGAGUUGGACACCCCUGAGCUAGACGGUUACUGUGUAUGUGCCGCUGGGCACAGCUUUCCUGAUGCCACCGGGGUGGCGUUUGCGCUGACGGCUCGGGCCCGCCAUCGCUGCUUGCAGCUAUAUUUUUUUAUUAUUAUUAUUAUUUUUUUCCAACGUCUCGGGGGCUUUUGGGGCCCUUAACAUACUCGAAAACUCUUGAAAAU